UAAUUGUUUGAAUCAAAUUUGAAUUUGAAUAUGAUUUUCACUUUUGAGUCCAUUAUACAAAUUCACACUCUAAUGUUGGAAUAAUAUAUUUUCAUUUACAUACUUUUAUCCUUACAAUAUUUAUUUCCUUCUCUUUUCUAGAUUCAAGAAUUUCUUUUAGGUUCUAAUUUCCCUUUUUGGUCUUUGAUAUUUUUCUUGUCACAAAAUGCACACAAAAAUAAAAUAUUCAGCAUGAUGCAACGAUUUAGUAGCAUAUCUUUUUAUUAAUUGUUCUUGAACAUGGUGUUCACAUAUGACGAUGCAUAAAGAUCAAACUCACAUAAAGAGAGAAAUUGUUUUCUCUAUUGGUAUUUUAUCUAGCAAUUACAAAGUGGGUGUUACAAAUCCUACCCCCCUUAAAAAUAAUCUCGGCCUCGAGAUUUAAGAAGAACGAGGGAAAAGGUGAGGGAAAUCUAUGCGAAGCUCUUCUUCUCUUUCCCAAGUUGCUCCAUCUUCUCCGUGGUGACUCCAUUGCACUUUGCACAUCUUUAUCACCUUAUUUCUUGUAACUCGAGUCAAAGUAUCCAAAAUCUUGAUCGGGUACUCCGUGUAAGUCAAAUCACCUUGAACACUGAGCUCUUCCAUGGGUAACUGUUCCUCGGGGACACGGAGACACUUCUUAAGUUGAGACACGUGGAACACAUUAUGCACAUCCGAUAGACUAGCAGGUAACUCAAGUUGGUAUGCCAUCUCCCCAACUCUCCUAAAGAUCAAGAAUGGUCCAAUAUAGCGAGGGGACAAUUUGCCCUUAACUUUAAAUCUCCUCAUUCCACGCAGUGGUGACACCUUGAGAUACACAUAAUCUCCUUCUUCAAAUUCCAGUGGUCUCCUUCUAUUAUCAGCAUAGCUCUUUUGCCUGGUUUGGGCCACUCUCAAAUUCUCUCGAAUUAUACGAACUUGUUCUUCUGCUUCUUGAAUCAGUUCAGGCCCAAAGAACUGUCUUUCUCCAGUCUGAUCCCAAUAUAGAGGAGUCCUGCACAUCCUCCCAUAUAAAGCUUCAAAAGGUGACAUCUUCAGACUAGCCUGAUAACUAUUGUUAUAUGAGAACUCAGCAUAAGGUAGACUUUUAUCCCAACUCCCUCCAUGCUGAAGGGCACAUGCUCUCAACAUAUCUUCCAAUACUUGAUUAGUCCUUUCGGUCUGUCCAUCAGUCUGAAAAUGGUAGGCCGAACUAAAAUUCAACUUCGUAUUCAUAUUCUCAUGAAAACUUUUCCAAAAUCUAAAGGUAACUGUGAUCCUCUAUCCGAAACGAUCUUCUUCGGUACACCGUGUAGAGACACAAUCUGAGCCAUAUAUAACUCUACUAAUUGAGAUCCUUAUAAGUAGUCUUGACCGGAAUGAAACAAACUUUAGUCAAUCUCUCUACAAUCACCCAUAUAAUCAUAUCCUUUCUGGGUGCGAGGCAAUCCAAUAAUGAAGUCCUUACCAAUCUCUUCCCACUUCCACUCGGGUAUCUUCAGUGGGUGCAAUAGUCCAGCUUGCCUCUGGUGUUCAGCCUUAACUCUUUGGCAUACAUCGCACAUAACCACAUGUGCAGCUACAUCUCUUUUCAAUCCAUCCCACCAAUACUUCCGUUUCAAAUCCUGAUACAUCUUAGUACUACCAGGAUGAAUAGAAUAAUCCGAGUCAUGGGCCUCCUUUAAAAUAGUCUCCCGAAGGCUUUUAAUAUCAGGAACACACAUUCUAUCCUUGAACCAUACAGUGCCUUGCUCAUCUUCCGUAAAUUCCGGUACUCGACCUUCAGCAAUCAGAUCCUUAAUCUCUUUUAUUUUAGCAUCACCAAUUUGUCCUUUGCGGAUCUCUUGCUCCAAAGUAGGUUCCACAUCAAUAGUAACUCCUUCAGUAUGAGCAACUAUCCCCAGGUUAAGUCUCCUGAAAUCCUCAACAAUCCCAUCGGGUAGCUGGGCAACAAUAGCUGAAUGAACAUGCUCUUUGCGACUCAAGGCAUCUGCAACCAAAUUUGCCUUGCCCGGGUGAUAGUGAAUCUCCAAAUCAUAAUCCUUAAUAAGCUCCAACCAACGGCGUUGCCUAAGAUUGAGAUCCUUCUGAGUGAAUAUAUACUUCAAACUCUUAUGAUCCGUAUACACUUGGCACUUGGUCCCCAUGAUAUAAUGUCUCCAAAUCUUAAGUGCAUGCACAACGGCUGCCAAUUCCAAGUCAUGAGUAGGGUAGUUCAAUUCAUGCUUGCGUAACUGACGAGAAGCAUAAGCAAUCACAUGUCCUUCUUGCAUGAGCACACAUCCUAAGCCUUGGCCACAUGCAUCACAAUAGAUAUCAAAUCCUUUCUGUAGGUCUGGCAUAACCAAUACUGGUGGCGACAUCAACCUCUUCUUCAAUAGAUCAAAGCUGUCUUGGCACUUCUCGUCCCACUUAAAUUCUCUUCCUUUCUCCAAAAGUGAAGUCAUCGGUUUAGCAAUCUUAGAAAAUCCUUCAAUAAAUCUCCGAUAAUAGCCUGCUAACCCCAAGAAACUCCGAAUCUCGGUAACUGUAGUGGGUACUCUCCACUCCAUUAUCUCCUUAACUUUAGCAGGAUCCACUGAAAUUCCUCCAUUAGAAAUAAUAUGUCCAAGAAAUGGCACCUCGCCAAUCCAAAACUCGCACUUGCUGAACUUGGCAUAUAGUUGAUUAUCUCGUAGCUUCUGUAGCACCAUCCUCAGAUGUUCCUCGUGAUCACUAUCACUCUGAGAAUAAAUAAGAAUAUCGUCGAUGAAUACCACGACGAAUCUGUCCAAAUACUCCAUAAACACCUUGUUCAUCAAGUUCAUAAAAUAAGCUGGUGCAUUGGUUAAUCCAAAUGACAUAACAGUAAACUCAUAUAAUCCAUAUCUCGUCGAGAAAGCCGUCUUGGAAAUAUCCGAUGGUCUAAUCCUCAUCUGAUGGUAACCGGAUCGGAGAUCAAUCUUCGAGAAUACUCUAGCACCUCUCAUCCGAUUAAAUAAAUCCUCAAUGCGGGGUAAUGGACACUUGUUCUUCAUAGUGACAUCGUUAAGGGACCUAUAAUCCACACACAUCCUUUGUGAUCCAUCUUUCUUCUGUACAAACAGAACUGGCGCUCCACAAGGUGAAGAAUCCGAACGAGUAUACCCAGCCUCUUGUAACUCCGUUAAUUGUUUCUUAAGUUCCUUUAACUCUUCUAUAGACAUCUUGUAUGGCCGUUUAGAUAUAGGAGCAGUUCUAGGUAGAAGAUCAAUUACAAACUCAACUUUCCUAUCUGGUGGCAUCCCUGGUAACUCCUUUGGAAAGACAUCCGGAAAAAUCUCUAACCACAUGGAUGUUGUCACCCACAAACUUCCCAUCUACUAAGAAUGCCACUAGUUUGAUGGUGGUAGCUACUGCAACUUCAACUUCAAAUCUUUGUCCUUUGGAAUUGGUGAGUUCUACGGUUCCUUUAGCACAGUGAAUAAACCGCCUUUGCCUUUCUUAACCAUGACAUACCAAGGAUCACGUCUAUAGUGCUCUCUUCUAACACUAUAGCGGUAGCCCAUCUGGGUUAGAAACAUAAGGUACGAAAGGAAGGAGUGUAGACAAGGCAUGUAAUUACGAGGCGUGUUACUUUGGGGAUUUAUUAGCUGAGUGUGUCGCCUACUAAAACUAAUUCAUUACCUUAUGGUGGUACAUGCUAAGAUGCCCGUCUAUACUAUUUCAAUCAAUCAAAGAAGCAAAUCAAGCAUUGAUCAUCAGAACAAUCAACCAACAUUUUUAAUAGAGAAAAUAAUUUUAAUUUCGUCUUAGGUCCCUAUCUCUUAAAAAGUUCGCAAAUGUAGGAUUCCAAGGUAUGAAAUCCAUCUUGUCUUAGAGUAGAAAAGAUAAGAAUAAUCAGAGUAGAAUAGCAAAAGGUGAGACAAGAUCAAGAGGAGAUAAGUGUAGAAUGAAUCAGAGUAAGAUAAGUAGGUAAGGGUUUGUCCAUUUCUAUCUAGGUUUCGUCCUACAGUCAACAUUUCCUCUGAUACCACUUCUGUAACACCCGGUUUUAAAGGACAAAGCCGGGUGCAUCUCAUACAUGCGCCAAGAAGACAACAUAUAUAAUAACAGAGUGUAUAGAGAUAAAUGUCAUAAAACAUCAGAGAAUUUAUUACAUAGCGGAAGACUUAUUACAAAAUAACAUAAUAAAGAUAAAACGAACUAAGGAUCGUCGGCGCCAAUGUCGACUGGGAAACGCCACCUAGAUCAGAUCGAACUCCUCAGUGUUAGGCGGCUCCUCCUGAACCACCUGAUCAUCUCCUGUGGGGGGGGGGGUGUGAGACAGCAAGGGUGAGCUCACACAUGAUCAUCGCUCAACAAGUUGUGGGGAAUAAUGUGACACGAACUCACCAAAGGUGGGAGCUCAUGUGAAGUGUAAGGCUGAUCAAUGAUAGGGGUUAAAGCUGAGCAUUGCUUUUAAGUAGUUGGUCAAAAUUUUAUUAGCAGUUACUAAGUGUAAGUAAAUACCAAACCAUAAGUAAAGUAAUAGAACAAAAUUAAUAACAAACCCAUGCAAUGCAAAUGACAAAAUUGAAUUUAAGUUCCAUAAUUUAAACAUCAGAGAGUCCUGAGCUGCUCAUGACCGUGAGCUCGGCUAGUAUACCAGUUUUACACUCUGCAGAGGUUGUACCCUUUACCCACAAGUCAUGUUACCCAUCUGCCAAGGGGUCAUGAAUCCCAUACACCUCUACCUAGGAAGCGCGGCAGGGCAACACUACGAGGCCUUUACAAAGUUCCACUAGCUUCCGAAAACCCGCUACAGUUUAUGGGAAGAUCCAGUACAGGGUUCCUGGCUGACCGCCAUCGCAGCAAAAUCAACCAGGGACCUCCCCGCACUGACCUCUCCCCUACUGCCCUUGCCCCUUUCGGGUAAGGUAGUCUUCCACUAGCUUUCCUAGUUAAUCAGCCAAGGGCGUCCCAUUAAACCCUUGUGGUGGCACGUGGUUCUCAAGUUAAGCUCUAUGUUCCAAUUAACAUUAAUGAUAACAACAUGAACAUAAACAGAAUAACAACAAGAAUUGGAACAUAGAGGUGAUAAAUGAUUAUCCCAAAACCAUAUAAAGCAAUAGCAAACUACCCAAGUGAUUCAGGGGUAAACAAGGUAAUGAGAUAAACAAUCUAGGGUGACCUAUUGGGUCCCAUCAAAAUUAACCUAUGCAUGGAUAAGUGAUAUUAAAGAACAUUAUUGGGUAAAAAGUGGUCAAGGGCACAACUUGCCUUCAAUGAGCUCCUGCUCAGCUACUCUAUCUGCUGCUCACCAGGAUCCUCAGCAACGGGCUCUUCUACUCGCCACAAUACAAACAAGCACAGUGCAUAUAGAGAAAUUAACAUUACACCAAACAUAUAAACAAAAUACACAGAGAUAUUCUACAUAUUAAAAUAAAAUUCCUAGGAACCGGAACCAAAAUUUUCUGAGUUAUAGAUUUUAAGUUAUGCAUUUUCAAAGGUUGUAUGUGCUUUAAAUAAGAUUAAGUGGUAAAUAAAUUCCUUACUGUUUUCAUGACAUAACAGAGGCUCUAGGUGAUAGAGAAUUAAAUUACAAAAAUUUAGAAAGUGGAAUGGCUCAAUUUGGAGUUAGUAUGAAUUUUCUAUGAAUUUAUAAAGUUCUAGCAAUUAUUUUUCUAUUAAAAAUCUAUUUAAUAACUCAUUUUCUCGGGUUUUACUAUGUUCUGGACUGGGCCUCAUUUUCCAGGAAACCUAGGGGGCUCGGGGUAAUAAUCCAGAGACCCGGCGCACAGAGGCGAGGGACGGCGGGUUCUAUUUGAGGAAACCCGAGGGUCUCAGAUGCAAAUAUGUCACGGCCGAGAGUAUGGAUGGAUUCUGGCCAUCGGAUCACACUCUGAGGGCCAUGAUUAGAUGUCGCAUUAAGUGAAUCGGUACGCAUAUAUGGCCCUAGGAUCUAAGUUCAACCGUCUAGAUCGGAUCCCAGUCGAACAGAUGCACUAGACCUAAUCUAGCCGUAAGCUACGCAUCCGACGGCCACCAUCUAUCCAGCCAUUCCCCCACCAUGACCCUGGCAGCGCUUCGAGCAUCGGCAGCGGCGCCAUGGCCGGCGAUCAGCCCGAAGGCAAACCGUGUGCUAAAACUCCUAAUCGAAGGAAGCGACGCGCAUCAGGAACAAUAGGGUACUUGUGAGGAAGAUGAUUACCGGAAGUUAGGAGCCACGCGGAGCUGCCCACGGCGAACGACGGACCCGCGGCGGAGGCGCUUCACCGACGAGCAAUCACAGAGGCACAGAGGGAGCUCCCAUCCAAUCAAUGCUACGAACUCCAUCACGGGAACCAGGCGGAGCUCUGGAAAGCCCCACGGAUGCCUGAGCGACCACGAUUCACGUGCCCGUCGGCGGCGGAUCCACACAUCUCCUCUCUGGUCGACAAUGGCGGCUUGGGUCUAGGGCUAUGGUGCUAAUACGUCAACGAGGCAAUGGCUACGGGCUAUAGGGUAGAUCCGGUCCGUCCUUGUAGCCAACGUGGGGCGAAAUUGCCGUGGGCGAGUAGCAACAUCCUCCGCGACUCGCGCGGAGCACAUCAGGCCGUUGACGAAGGAAGGGGGAAAGGAGCUGACCGGUGGGGUCCUGUGGUCAGUGAAAGCGCAGCCAAUGUGAGCCGGAGUCACCAACACGCGGGCCAGACUUGCCAGCGGAAGGUGUCCCACGCCUGAGACGCGUGUAUGAGGCUGACGGGUGGCCCCGCACGAUAGUUGGCAGGGCGCGGUAAGAAGAGUGGGCCGCGCGGGUGUUCCAUCAGAUGGGCCGAAAUGUGGUAAGCCGGCCCACGGUAGGUAAAAUCCCUUUUUUUUUCUUUUAUUCAUUUCUAUUUCUUGUUUUCUCUAUUUUCCAUAGAUUUGAGUUCAAAUUUGUUUUGAAAUUCAAACACCAGUUAAUUGCAGCAAACAAAGAACUCCAUCAUGAAUUUAUGAUAUACUUUAUUUUCUGCUUUUCUUUUCUCUCUCUAAUCUUUUUCAAAUUUAAAUCUCAAAUUUGAAUUCCACUUAAGUGCAAAUUCAAGUUCAUGUUAACUAUGCAAUUUAUUCUCACCAUCAUGUGGUAAAGUUAUUCAAUUUUUUUAAUAUUAUUUUAUAUUGAAUAAUAUUUCUUUUAUAAUUGUUUGAAUCAAAUUUGAAUUUGAAUAUGAUUUUCACUUUUGAGUCCAUUAUACAAAUUCACACUCUAAUGUUGGAAUAAUAUAUUUUCAUUUACAUACUUUUAUCCUUACAAUAUUUAUUUCCUUCUCUUUUCUAGAUUCAAGAAUUUCUUUUAGGUUCUAAUUUCCCUUUUUGGUCUUUGAUAUUUUUCUUGUCACAAAAUGCACACAAAAAUAAAAUAUUCAGCAUGAUGCAACGAUUUAGUAGCAUAUCUUUUUAUUAAUUGUUCUUGAACAUGGUGUUCACAUAUGACGAUGCAUAAAGAUCAAACUCACAUAAAGAGAGAAAUUGUUUUCUCUAUUGGUAUUUUAUCUAGCAAUUACAA
rnacentral:lncRNA from 1 species